rnacentral:rRNA from 1 species
UACAGAGGGUGCAAGCGUUAAUCGGAAUUACUGGGCGUAAAGCGCGCGUAGGUGGUUCGUUAAGUUGGAUGUGAAAUCCCCGGGCUCAACCUGGGAACUGCAUUCAAAACUGUCGAGCUAGAGUAUGGUAGAGGGUGGUGGAAUUUCCUGUGUAGCGGUGAAAUGCGUAGAUAUAGGAAGGAACGCCAGUGGCGAAGGCGACCACCUGGACUGAUACUGACACUGAGGUGCGAAAGCGUGGGGAGCAAACAGG